CUCCCUGUUCUGCCUUCUCUCCCUUUCAAGCAGGCCAGAUGGUUGGUUCUACCAUAGGUCCGUCUUGUCUUCCUCUCUCAUCCCUGCUUCUGCCUUAUCUCUCCUCCCAAGCGGGCCAGAUGGUUGGUUCUACCAUAGGUCCGUCUUGUCUUGCAAUCUUCUCCCUGCUUCCACCUUCUCUGCCCUCCCAAGCUGGCCAGAUGGUUGGUUCUACCAUAGGUCUGUCUUGUCUUACACUCUUCUCCCUGUUUCUGCCUUCUCUCCCUCCCAAGCGUGCCAGAUGGUUGGUUCUACCAUAGGUCCGUCUUGUCUUCCUCUCUCAUCCCUGUUUCUGCCUUCUCUCCUCCCAAGCGGGCCAGAUGGUUGGUUCUACCAUAGGUCUGUCUUGUCUUACACUCUUCUCCCUGCUUCCGCCUUCUCUCCUCCCAAGCGGGCCAGAUGGUUGGUUCUACCAUAGGUCUGUCUUGUCUUACACUCUUCUCCCUGCUUCGGCCUUCUCUCCCCUCCCAAGCGUGCCAGAUGGUUGGUUCUACCAUAGGUCCGUCUUGUCUUACACUCUUCUCCCUGUUUCUGCCUUCUCUCCCUCCCAAGCAGGCCAGAUGGUUGGUUCUACCAUAGGUCCGUCUUGUCUUACACUCUUCUGCCUGUUUCUGCCUUAUCUCUCCUUCAAAGCGGGCCAGAUGGUUGGUUCUACCAUAGGUCUGUCUUGUCUUACACUCUUCUCUCUGUUCUGCCUUCUCUCCCUUUCAAGCAGGCCAGAUGGUUGGUUCUACCAUAGGUCCGUCUUGUCUUCCUCUUCAUCCCUGUUUCUGCCUUAUCUCUCCUCCCAAGCGGGCCAGAUGGUUGGUUCUACCAUAGGUCCGUCUUGUCUUGCAAUCUUCUCCCUGCUUCCACCUUCUCUGCCCUCCCAAGCGGGCCAGAUGGUUGGUUCUACCAUAGGUCUGUCUUGUCUUACACUCUUCUCCCUGUUUCUGCCUUCUCUCCCUCCCAAGCGUGCCAGAUGGUUGGUUCUACCAUAGGUCCGUCUUGUCUUCCUCUCUUAUCCCUGUUUCUGCCUUCUCUCCUCCCAAGCGGGCCAGAUGGUUGGUUCUACCAUAGGUCUGUCUUGUCUUACACUCUUCUCCCUGCUUCCGCCUUCUCUCCCCCCAAGCGGGCCAGAUGGUUGGUUCUACCAUAGGUCUGUCUUGUCUUACACUCUUCUCCCUGCUUCCGCCUUCUCUCCCCUCCCAAGCGUGCCAGAUGGUUGGUUCUACCAUAGGUCCGUCUUGUCUUACACUCUUCUCCCUGUUUCUGCCUUCUCUCCCUCCCAAGCAGGCCAGAUGGUUGGUUCUACCAUAGGUCUGUCUUGUCUUACACUCUUCUCCCUGCUUCCGCCUUCUCUCCCCUCCCAAGCGUGCCAGAUGGUUGGUUCUACCAUAGGUCCGUCUUGUCUUACACUCUUCUCCCUGUUUCUGCCUUCUCUCCCUCCCAAGCAGGCCAGAUGGUUGGUUCUACCAUAGGUCCGUCUUGUCUUACACUCUUCUGCCUGUUUCUGCCUUAUCUCUCCUCCAAAGCAGGCCAGAUGGUUGGUUCUACCAUAGGUCAGUCUUGUCUUACACUCUUCUCCCUGUUUCUGCCUUCUUUCCCGUCCCAAGCGGGCCAGAUGGUUGGUUCUACCAUAGGUCUGUCUUGUCUUACACUCUUCUCCCUGUUCUGCCUUCUCUCCCUUUCAAGCAGGCCAGAUGGUUGGUUCUACCAUAGGUCCGUCUUGUC